AUUGAACGCUGGCGGCAGGCCUAACACAUGCAAGUCGAACGAGUGGCGGACUGGUGAGUAAUGUCUUGGAAACUGCCCGAUGGAGGGGGGUAACUACUGUAAACGGUAGCUAAUACCGCAUACCAUCGGAUGUGCCCAGGUGGGAUUAGCUAGUCGGUGGGGUAACGGCUCACCUAGGCGACGAUCCCUAGCUGGUCUGAGAGGAUGACCAGCCACACUGGAACUGAGACACGGUCCAGACUCCUACGGGAGGCAGCAGUGGGGAAUAUUGCACAAUGGGCGAAAGUCUGAUGCAGCAACGCCGCGUGUAUGAAGAAGGCUUUCGGGUUGUAAAGCACUUUCAGUGAGGAGGCGUUACUCGCAGAAGAAGCACCGGCUAACUCCGUGCCAGCAGCCGCGGUAAUAC
rnacentral:rRNA from 1 species